rnacentral:lncRNA from 1 species
AUUUCAGAUUUCAUAAAUAAAAAUAAAAAUAAAAUUUCUUCAAACAUUUUUUUGAGAGGAUUAAUAUUCAACAGCAUAGUGAAUUGCUCAAAGGCAAAAAAAAUAUUUUAAUUUCAUUAGACCACAUUCAUUCUGUGUCAGAAACCUAUGCUGUGUCAACUAUUUAAUCACAAUCCCAAUUUAGAGCUGAAUCCAGCUUAAAUGUUGUGUCCAUACUUGCCCC